rnacentral:piRNA from 1 species
UUUCAACUUUAUUUUCAAUAC